rnacentral:rRNA from 1 species
UACGUAGGGGGCAAGCGUUGUCCGGAUUUAUUGGGCGUAAAGAGCUCGUAGGCGGUUUGGUAAGUCUGGUGUGAAAUCUCCACGCUCAACGUGGAGGGGCCACCCGAUACUGCCAUGACUGGAGUCCGGUAGAGGAGUGUGGAAUUCCCGGUGUAGCGGUGAAAUGCGCAGAUAUCGGGAGGAACACCGGUGGCGAAGGCGGUUCUCUGGGCAUGAUCUGACGCUGAGGAGCGAAAGUGUGGGGAGCGAACAGG